rnacentral:tRNA from 1 species
GGGUAUAGCUCAGUGGUAAAGCACAUGCUUAGCAUGCACGAGGUCCUGGGUUCAAUCCCCAGUACCUCCA